rnacentral:rRNA from 1 species
UACGUAGGGCGCAAGCGUUGUCCGGAAUUAUUGGGCGUAAAGGGUGCGUAGGCGGUUUGACAAGUCUUAUGUGAAAUCUUCGGGCUCAACCCGAAGUCUGCAUGAGAAACUGUUGAGCUUGAGUAUGGGAGAGGUGAGUGGAAUUUCCGGUGUAGCGGUGAAAUGCGUAGAUAUCGGAAGGAACACCUGUGGCGAAAGCGGCUCACUGGACCAUAACUGACGCUGAGGCACGAAAGCUAGGGGAGCAAACAGG